GUCCACUUCCAGCCACCAGAGGCAGGAUUCCAGCGUUGGGAACAACGUUCCAUGACAAAGUUAGCGUGAUGUUCUUAUUGGCCCUGGAGACAAGACAGACAUGACAGUGAGUUAGCCAGUCCCGUUACAUAACAUGUACAAACUAUACAAACGUAAACCUCGGAUUUUGAAAUGGUAUUCACAAGCUUUAAUGAGUAUGUGUAAACUGUGCUAUAAUGUCUUCUGUGUCUCUGGAGGAGCUGUGUAUGAGCUAAUAUCUCCAAUGAUGUCCAAAGGUUAUGUCCUUAGGGUUACCCCAGCUUGGGCAAUAAGUCUGUGCGACAAACUGAAGGUGUGGGGUGAAGAGAUGUGGACAUCUGUCAGACAGGGAGGCUCUACUGAAAGAUACCAUUGAGUUGCAUUAUAGGAAAUGUAGGAUCCAGUAUUU